rnacentral:sRNA from 2 species
GCGCGGCCUCCGCCGAGUCCGGUGCGCCCCCCGGCAACCGGAGCCGGGGACCCACACCGACCUUGGGGUGAAUCGGCCAACCGCCUUGCGCGGCACGGCCGUAGGGCACACCUUCCGGAACCCCCGCCCGAACCCGACAGCUAACCCGGUAGGCGGAGCACGGAAGGAGU